AUACGGAGGAUGCAAGCGUUAUCCGGAUUUAUUGGGUUUAAAGGGUGCGUAGGCGGUUUGCUAAGCGGGAGGUGAAAUGCCGGCGCUCAACGUCGGAAGUGCCUCCCGAACUGGUGGACUGGAAUGACUCUGCCGUGGGAGGAAUGUGUAGUGUAGCGGUGAAAUGCUUAGGGAUUACACAGAACGCCGAUUGUGAAGACCCCUAACGAAGCGGUAACUGACGUUGAGGCACGAAAGCGUGGGGAUCGAACGGGAUUAGAUACCCUGGUAGUCCACGCAGUAAACGAUGAUGACUAACCGUCGGCGAUAGACCGCCGGUGGCCAAGCGAAAGCGAUAAGUCAUCCACCUGGGGAGUACGACCGCAAGGUUGAAACUCAAAUGAAUUGGCGGGG
rnacentral:rRNA from 1 species